AGGCAAGUAGAAGCACCCGCUUCUCACCUGAUUGACGCUAACAUGUAGUUGACAGGUAUAAUGAAUCCGACUUAUUUGUAAUGAAUUCAGGACGUGUGGGUGCAGUGUGUGUACCGACACUUUUUUAA
rnacentral:sRNA from 1 species